rnacentral:rRNA from 1 species
AAAUUGAAGAGUUUGAUCAUGGCUCAGAUUGAACGCUGGCGGCAGGCCUAACACAUGCAAGUCGAACGGUAACAGGAAUCAGCUUGCUGAUUCGCUGACGAGUGGCGGACGGGUGAGUAAUGUCUGGGAAACUGCCUGAUGGAGGGGGAUAACUACUGGAAACGGUAGCUAAUACCGCAUAACGUCGCAAGACCAAAGAGGGGGACCUUCGGGCCUCUUGCCAUCGGAUGUGCCCAGAUGGGAUUAGC